rnacentral:rRNA from 1 species
UACGUAGGGUGCAAGCGUUAUCCGGAAUUAUUGGGCGUAAAGAGCUCGUAGGCGGCUUGUCACGUCGGGUGUGAAAGCCCCGGGGCUUAACCCCGGGUCUGCAUUCGAUACGGGCUAGCUAGAGUGUGGUAGGGGAGAUCGAAUUCCUGGUGUAGCGGUGAAAUGCGCAGAUAUCAGGAGGAACACCGGUGGCGAAGGCGGAUCUCUGGGCCAUUACUGACGCUGAGGAGCGAAAGCGUGGGGAGCGAACAGG